CCUACGGGUGGCUGCAGUGGGGAAUAUUGGGCAAUGGACGCAAGUCUGACCCAGCAACGCCGCGUGAAGGUAGAAGGCUUUCGGGUUGUAAACUUCUUUUAUGGGGGAAGAGCAGAAGACGGUACUCCUUGAAUAAGCGACGGCUAACUACGUGCCAGCGGCCGCGGUAAUACGGAGGUGGCAAGCGUUGUCCGGAUUUACUGGUUGUAAGGGGCGUGCAGCCGGAAAGAAAAGUCAGAUGUGAAAUCCACGGGCUCAAGUGGUGAACUGCAUUUGAAACUGUUUCCCUUGAGUGUCGGAGAGGUAAUAGGAAUGCGUGGUGUAGCGGUGAAAUGCGUAGAUAUAAGGAAGAACACCAGUGGCGAAGGCGGAUUACUGGACGAUAACUGACGGUGAGGCGCGAAAGCGUGGGGAGCAAACAGGAUUAGAUACCCUUGUAGUC
rnacentral:rRNA from 1 species